ensembl:lncRNA
CUUGAUUGAUAGAUGUUAUUGAUCAUAGCGAUACGGUUUUAGCGUUUUCCGUGUUUCCCCUUCCUGUAUUCAGCAGUGGCGUGCCGCCACCGCUAGGAAAGUUAGCUCCGCUCCUGUUUGGAUUGAUAGUUUGGUGAAACGUGACAACGGGGAUGUUUCGUGCUCGACACUGAACAGCCAUCCGACAUAUCAAACAAACAAAAAGAAUCUGUAGACUACAAAGCCAAUGGAAAUAAUUAUCCUUUAAUUAUAUCCUGGGCCUUUAUAUGUUCUAAAUAGGCAGGUCAGUAUUUUUAACCGUUCAUCUUAAUGCCACCACCACACAGUCUGGACACUUUGAUUAUUAUCAGUCCAAUCGCUAUGGAAUGUUUUGUAUGCCUUGAUUUCCUUCCCAGUUUAGACAUUAAGUCUACAUAUCCGUUUUAAUCGUCUACUGGCUACUGGCUCCAAAUAAAGGUGACCUCCUAAUUAAUUCUCGUUCUCGUCUCGACCUUCUGGCUCACAACUAAUCCCAGAGCAUUCAUUCCCAUACGCCCACCUUGUUAACUCGUUAAUUAACUUCACCUGUCUCUCACACGCACCCACACGUCUAUAUUAAGGUGCUCACGUAGGUUUGGUUUAAUUUUUAUGUCUUUAGCCUCGCUUAUCAGGUUUUCGCACCAGGUAGUGCGCUCGCGUUUUCCGUCAAUUUCAGCUAAACUCAAAAGGGACCCACCGCUACUUAUAAACGUGUUUUUGUGUGCUACUUUUGACUGAACAAUCCUGACAAACAUGUCAACCAGAGGAAGGUCUUCAACAAAGAACACCACAGACAAUGCCUUGCUGAUGACUGACUUAACUUGACUGUAUGGGGGGGCCCCUUGCCCCCCCAUAUAUCACCGACGACGUCCUAAUUGUGAACGGCGGGGGAUGAGGUCACAGAUUGGUAUCACUUUGACUGUUGCAGCGGCAAGGAAUCGUCUUAUCUCCUGCCAGUUGUAAAUGGUGUUGCAGUGUACCGCGUGCUAAAGGAGCCUGGGAAAGGAGGAGUCAAAGCGCCUUUCCUUAGCAGUUGGACAAUAAUUGGACCCGCUCUCAUCAUGGCUGCCACUCCUGGGUCAUUUUACUCUACCUUUCUGUCCACAAACCUCAUCUCCCUUGUAAAUGGUUUUCCUGUUAAUACUUAAACUAAAAUGGUUGCUAUUAUUUUAACUUGUGUCGCUUCGUGAAUAAAAACUAUUUACAAAUAUUUGCAUUUUAUUGAUGAAUCCAGAAAAAGGUUUUCAUAUUGAACAGAAGAAAAUUGAAUUUUUAGGCAAGUUGGCUGCAAGCUAUUGGGUGAAAAGGGAUUUCAGUUGUGCAAACACCUCACUUGCAUCAAUGUCAUGUGUUGAUUC